UCUCCAGGUGCAUGUGUUGUGUCUCAUCCCUUCAGAGUCUUCCUCACCUGGGACUACAGCCUGAUAGGCGGUUGUGAGAUUAGUGCUUAACUGGUUGCAAAGGGCAAAUUCAGUCAGGAAGACAGUGAGUGCCUACCUCUCUGGUGUUGAUAUGGUUGUUGACCAACCAGCCCUCAGACCUGGCUAUCUCAUCUGGUUUAAGUGCCCUGCUUGCUCCAGCAUAUUUGAAAUCUGGUCUUCUGCUUUGCAACUUCUUAAGAAGAUAACGGUGUGAAGGAAGUCCCACAGUCUGUUUGCAUCCUAAAAGCAUCCCUUCUUUCCCUACCGUCAAGCUGAUCGGCUCCUGUUCCUCCGUGGUGCCCGCAUCUUUCAUAAUCUCAGGCUGAAUGGUGGACCCAUCCCAUUGGGGCUUCUGUGUGCUGAAAAUGGGGAUGCAGGUGUUGGAAGGGAUCCGCUCCAACAUGGAGCGAAUGUUAAUGGCCACCCUCCUUGGUGUGGAUGAAAUUCUUUGCACGAAGCUUCAUGUCAGUGUUCUGGACUUGCUAAUGCUGAUGGGAUCCUUGGCAAAGGAGCAGACAAAGUGAUCCCCAGGCGUUCAGCAGUUUGUGGUGGUGAUGAAAAAAGUUUGGAGACGUUACUUAAAGAAGGCUACAUCCCAGACGCUCAAAAGUGCCUAACCUUUGCCUGCAGAUCACACGCUCAGAGUUUUCCUGCCCUCCUUCCUCAACUCUUGAGAUGACAGUGUUAUACCUUUAGUACCUGGAUGAUGUGUGGGGUUGGGGUCACAUGCAGGAGCUGAAGAACCUUGCUGAAACCCCCUCUGGGAAGCUGGGCUCUUUGAAGAGUAGCCAUGUAGAACAUAAUUGCAGGCUAGUUUUUGUGCUUUCAAAGGGCAUUAUCAACCUAUCUCUGUCUUCUGGGAACGUAGCUUGAUGUUGUAAUUGAAUCAAACAGACUCUUAAUUACGUAGAUUCUUUACAGUAAGGAUGAAUUAUUGGAAAAUACUGACUUACUUUCUCUACAUGUCACUGUUGUGGAUGAAAACAAAGCUACCUCAGUUUUAGACAUGUUUUUAUAAUGAAAGUUCCCCUCCCCCCCAUUUCGUACCUUCUGUGCUUCAUUAUUCUUGCAACAAGACCACCCUGCCAUAAAAGCAGAAUAUCAGUUCAACACAACAGCUCUA